GAGGUGUUAGUAAAAUAUUAUACUGCCUUGUCAAGGCAGAGUUGUAGGUGAAACCCCUGCACACCUUA
rnacentral:tRNA from 1 species